GAUCGUCAAAGCCAAGGAUAAUUUUAUCCCUUUGUUAAUGAUUGGUAAUAAAUGGACAAAUGUCCAUGAUAAAUGGACCCAGUUCUGGACAGUGAGUGAGGGGAAGUUGAUCAUGGAAGCUCUGAGAUGUGAUUCAUAAAACUGCUUCAAGGCCGGACGCGGUGGCUCACACCUGUCAUCUCAGCACUAUGGGAGGCCGAGGUGGGUGGAUCACGAUGUCAGGAGAUCAAGACCACCUUGGCUAACAUGAUGAAACCCAGUCUCUACUAAAAAUAUAAAAAAUUAGCGGGGUUUGAUGGUGCACGCCUGUUAUCUCAGCUACUUGGGAGGCUGAGGCAGGAGAACAGCUUGAACCUGGGAGGUAGAGGUUGCAGUGAGCUGAGAUCGCACCACUGCACUCCAGUCUAGGCAACAGAGCAAGACUCUGCCUCAAAAAAAAAAAAAAAGAAAAACCUGCUUCAAACACCUUGCUCCAACUCAAAUAUAAAAAUGACAAUGAGGAUCAAGAAAAGAGAGGAAGAGCCAAUACUCAGUGACAUUUUGGCACACUGAAUUAGCCAACUUUAGCGUCUACUCUGUUUUCUGGGCUUCCCUUCAGAGUUUCUUUUUGUUUUCCAAUGGUAACGGGAGAGAAAAUAAGCUGUCAUUAUCGGAAUGAUCAAACACAGAGAGAAAAGAGGCAGAGUUUCUCCAGUGCUGCUCAGCCUCCUAGUAGAAGAGAAAAAUGGUUGGGUUCAAGUUGUGUCAAAUAGAAAUGAUAAAAAAAUAGAGCAACAAGGGGCUUUGGGCUCUGGCAAGAGUGAUUGGAUUGAUGCAUCAUAGAAUCAAACUGGAGAAGGAAGAAAGGAAGAAGAUCAGUGGCCUAAAGGGCUCAGAAGGUUGGAGAAUGUAGAAGAAAUAGUUGAGUAAACAUUCUGGAAAGAUACCUUAACAGCUGAUUGGCUAAAGGAAAGGGAGACAAGAUACAGUGGAACGGUCUUUGGGGUUCAGAGCCUUAUGGAUGAGACAGAUUAUGGAAUCAUUCACAGGAUUAGAGUACUGGGGAGGAGAACUGGUUUUCAGGGCAUAAUGAUAAACUUCAUUUUGAACAAACUGAACAGGAGAGGAUAAUGAGACAUCUAAGUAGCAUGGAGGGCUGGAGUUCAGAAGAACCACAGGAUUCAAGAUAGACCUUUCAGAGUGAAGACCAGAAACAUUACCGGGGGUCAGGAUUCAGUGACACCUCCAAAGAAGAAAGUGAGAAGACUGAAAUGCAGUCUUUGAGGACCAUUUUAUUAAAGGAAAGGGUAUAACAAAGAACCUGUUAACACAGAAGAAAUGGAGUUCUCUGUCAUCCAAGACAAAGAGCUGCAUCUGAGUCAAGGUAAGCUGCUCUGAAUAGUGCUUCAUCCAAAAAUAUCUCCCCCUUUUUUCCCCAAUCAUCUUUAUUGUCUGGUUAUGCAAAUAAACCUUCUACCUCUUAAGCC
rnacentral:lncRNA from 1 species